GAUCAACGCUGGCGGCGUGCUUAACACAUGCAAGUCGAACGGGAUCCAAGGGGUGCUUGCACUUUUUGGUGAGAGUGGCGAACGGGUGAGUAACACGUGAGUAACCUGUCCUUUUCUUUGGGAUAAGCAUUCGAAAGGGUGUUUAAUACCUUAUGUUCUGUCUGCCUCGCAUGGGGUGGGUGGGAAAGGCUUUGGCCGGAUUUGGGUGGGCUCGCGGUCUAUCAGCUUGUUGGUGGGGUGAUGGCUUACCAAGGCUUUGACGGGUAGCCGGCCUGAGAGGGUGGUCGGUCACAUUGGGACUGAGAUACGGCCCAGACUCCUGCGGGAGGCAGCAGUGGGGGAUAUUGCACAAUGGGCGAAAGCCUGAUGCAGCGACGCCGCGUGGGGGAUGAAGGCCUUCGGGUUGUAAACUUCUUUUGCUCUGAACAAGGCAUGCCAGUGGGUGUGUUGAGUGUAGGGGUUGAUUAGCGCCGGCUAACUACGUG
rnacentral:rRNA from 1 species